rnacentral:miRNA from 2 species
UUUCCUUGGGAAGGUGGUUUC